rnacentral:rRNA from 1 species
AACAGGAUUAGAUACCCUGGUAGUCCACGCCGUAAACGAUGAGUGCUAAGUGUUAGAGGGUUUCCGCCCUUUAGUGCUGCAGCAAACGCAUUAAGCACUCCGCCUGGGGAGUACGGCCGCAAGGCUGAAACUCAAAGGAAUUGACGGGGGCCCGCACAAGCGGUGGAGCGUGUGGUUUAAUUCGAAGCAACGCGAAGAACCUUACCAGGUCUUGACAUCCUCUGACAAUCCUAGAGAUAGGACGUUCCCCUUCGGGGGACAGAGUGACAGGUGGUGCAUGGUUGUCGUCAGCUCGUGUCGUGAGAUGUUGGGUUAAGUCCCGCAACGAGCGCAACCCUUGAUCUUAGUUGCCAGCAUUCAGUUGGGCACUCUAAGGUGACUGCCGGUGACAAACCGGAGGAAGGUGGGGAUGACGUCAAAUCAUCAUGCCCCUUAUGACCUGGGCUACACACGUGCUACAAUGGAUGGUACAAAGGGCUGCAAGACCGCGAGGUUUAGCCAAUCCCAUAAAACCAUUCUCAGUUCGGAUUGCAGGCUGCAACUCGCCUGCAUGAAGCCGGAAUCGCUAGUAAUCGCGGAUCAGCAUGCCGCGGUGAAUACGUUCCCGGGCCUUGUACACACCGCCCGUCACACCACGAGAGUUUGUAACACCCGAAGUCGGUGGGGUAACCGCAAGGAGCCAGCCGCCUAAGGUGGGACAGAUGAUUGGGGUGAAGUCGUAACAAGGUAACC